rnacentral:rRNA from 1 species
GGCGAACGGGUGAGUAAUAUAUCGGAACGUGCCCAGUAGUGGGGGAUAGCCCGGCGAAAGCCGGAUUAAUACCGCAUACGACCUACGGGUGAAAGCGGGGGAUCGCAAGACCUCGCGCUAUUGGAGCGGCCGAUAUCAGAUUAGGUAGUUGGUGGGGUAAAGGCCUACCAAGCCUACGAUCUGUAGCUGGUCUGAGAGGACGACCAGCCACACUGGGACUGAGACACGGCCCAGACUCCUACGGGAGGCAGCAGUGGGGAAUUUUGGACAAUGGGCGCAAGCCUGAUCCAGCCAUGCCGUGUGCGGGAAGAAGGCCUUCGGGUUGUAAACCGCUUUUGUCAGGGAAGAAAAGCUCCGGGCUAAUACCCUGGGGUCAUGACGGUACCUGAAGAAUAAGCACCGGCUAACUACGUGCCAGCAGCCGCGGUAAUACGUAGGGUGCAAGCGUUAAUCGGAAUUACUGGGCGUAAAGCGUGCGCAGGCGGUGAUGCAAGACAGAUGUGAAAUCCCCGGGCUCAACCUGGGAACUGCAUUUGUGACUGCAUCGCUGGAGUGCGGCA